rnacentral:rRNA from 1 species
UACGUAGGGGGCGAGCGUUGUCCGGAUUCAUUGGGCGUAAAGCGCGCGCAGGCGGCCUGGUAAGUCGGCCGUGAAAUCUCCACGCUCAACGUGGAGGGGUCGGGCGAGACUGCGAGGCUGGAGGCGGGUAGAGGGUCGUGGAAUUCCGGGUGUAGUGGUGGAAUGCGUAGAGAUCCGGAGGAACACCAGUGGCGAAGGCGGCGACCUGGGCCUGGCCUGACGCUGAGGCGCGAAAGCGUGGGGAGCGAUCCGG